rnacentral:rRNA from 1 species
AUACGUAGGUGGCGAGCGUUGUCCGGAAUUACUGGGCGUAAAGGGCGCGUAGGCGGAUCGUUAAGUUGGACGUGAAAUACCCCGGCUCAACUGGGGGGCGACGUCCAAAACUGGCGGACUAGAGUGCAGGAGAGGAAAGUAGAAUUCCCAGUGUAGCGGUGAAAUGCGUAGAUAUUGGGAGGAAUACCGGUGGCGAAGGCGGCUUUCUGGACUGUAACGGACGCUGAGGCGCGAAAGCUGGGGGAGCGAACAGGAUUAGAUACCCUGGUAGUCCCAGCCGUAAACAAUGAACACUAGGUGUAGGGGGUAUCGACCCCUCCUGUGCCGCAGCUAACGCAUUAAGUGUUCCGCCUGGGGAGUACGGCCGCAAGGUUGAAACUCAAAUGAAUUGACGGGG